AGGAUGAACGCUGGCGGCGUGCCUAACACAGUCGCAAGUCGAGCGAGUUCUCUCGGAGAAGAGCGGCGGACGGGUGAGUAACGCGUGGGUAACCUGCCCUGUACACACGGAUAACAUAACCGAAAGGUAUGCUAAUACGGGAUAAUAUGUUUUGAUCGCAUGGUCGAAAUAUCAAAGCUCCGGCGGUAACAGGAUGGGACCCCGCGUCUGAUUAGCUAGGUUGGUGAGGUAAUGGCUCACCAAGGCGACGAUCAGUAGCCGACCUGAGAGGGUGAUCGGCCACAUUGGAACUGAGACACGGUCCAAACUCCUACGGGAGGCAGCAGUGGGGAAUAUUGCACAAUGGGCGAAAGCCUGAUGCCAGCAACGCCGCGUGAGCGAUGAAGGCCUUCGGGUCGUAAAGCUCUGUCCUCAAGGAAGAUAAUGACGGUACUUGAGGAGGAAGCCCCGGCUAACUACGUGCCAGCCGCCGC
rnacentral:rRNA from 1 species